rnacentral:rRNA from 1 species
UAAGGAAUAUUGGUCAAUGGACGCAAGUCUGAACCAGCCAUGCCGCGUGGAGGAUGAAGGUCCUCUGGAUUGUAAACUUCUUUUAUCUGGGGCGAAAAAGGGCCUUUUUAGGUCAACUGACGGUACCAGAUGAAUAAGCACCGGCUAACUCCGUGCCAGCAGCCGCGGUAAUACGGAGGGUGCAAGCGUUAUCCGGAUUCACUGGGUUUAAAGGGUGCGUAGGCGGGUGUGUAAGUCCGUGGUGAAAUCUCCGAGCUUAACUCGGAAACUGCCAUGGGUACUGCAUGUCUUGAAUGUUGUGGAGGUGAGCGGAAUAUGUCAUGUAGCGGUGAAAUGCUUAGAUAUGACAUAGAACACCAAUUGCGAAGGCAGCUCGCUACACAAAUAUUGACGCUGAGGCACGAAAGCGUGGGGAUCAAACA